AUUGAACGCUGGCGGCAUGCCUAACACAUGCAAGUCGAGCGGAUGAAGGGAGCUUUCUCCUGGAUUCAGCUGCGGACGGGUGAGUAAUGCCUAGGAAUCUGCCUGGUAGUGGGGGAUAACGUCCGGAAACGGGCGCUAAGACCGCAUACGUCCUGAGUGAGAAAGGGGGGGAUCUUCGGACCUCACGCUAUCAGAUGAGCCUAGGUCGGAUUAGCUAGUUGGUGGGGUAAAGGCCUACCAAGGCGACGAUCCGUAACUGGUCUGAGAGGAUGAUCAGUCACACUGGAACUGAGACACGGUCCAGACUCCUACGGGAGGCAGCAGUGGGGAAUAUUGGACAAUGGGCGAAAGCCUGAUCCAGCAAUGCCGCGUGUGUGAAGAAGGUCUUCGGAUUGUAAAGCACUUUAAGUUGGGAGGAAGGGCAGUAAGUUAAUCUCUUGAUGUUUUGACGUUACCAACAGAAUAAGCCCCGGCUAACUUCGUG
rnacentral:rRNA from 1 species